UACGAAGGGGGCUAGCGUUGCUCGGAAUCACUGGGCGUAAAGAGCUCGUAGGCGGCUUGUCGCGUCGGCUGUGAAAACCUGGGGCUCAACCCCGGGCCUGCAGCCGAUACGGGCAAGCUAGAAUUCGGUAGGGGAGACUGGAAUUCCUGGUGUAGCGGUGAAAUGCGCAGAUAUCAGGAGGAACACCGAUGGCGAAGGCAGCCCCCUGGGCCAAAACUGACGCUCAGGCACGAAAGCGUGGGGAGCAAACAGG
rnacentral:rRNA from 1 species